rnacentral:rRNA from 1 species
AACGAACGCUGGCGGCAUGCCUAACACAUGCAAGUCGAACGAGACCUUCGGGUCUAGUCGCGCACGGGUGCGUAACGCGUGGGAACCUGCACUUAGGUUCGGAAUAACUCCCCGACAGGGGUGCUAAUACCGGAUAAUGUCUUCGGACCAAAGAUUUAUUGCCCUUGGAGGGGCCAGCGUUGGAUUAGCUAGUUGGUAGGGUAAAAGCCUAACAAGGCGACGAUCAAUAGCUGGUAUGAGAGAAUGAUCAGCGACACUGGGACUGAGAAACGGCCCAGACUCCUACGGGAGGCAGCAGUGGGGAAUAUUGGACAGUGGGCGAAAGCCUGAUCCAGCAAUGCCGCGUGAGUGAUGAAGGCCUUAGGGUUGUAAAGCGCUUUUACCCGGGAUGAUAAUGACAGUACCGGGAGAAUAAGCUCCGGCUAACUCCGUG